rnacentral:pre_miRNA from 1 species
GUCGUACUUCCUCUGUCCGAAAAUACUUGUCGAAGAAAUGAAUGUAUAUAGACGUAUUUUAGUUGUAAAUACAUCUAUUUUUAUCCAUUUCUCCGACAAGUAUUUCCCAAGGGUGGGAGUAGGUG